UAUCUCCCCAACUCAGUACACAAAACCCUAAACUAUUCAGUCAUCAAUCAGUACCCUUUCACCAAUCCUUUCGGCCAACUGCAUUUAACCCCAAAAUCUAUACUCUUUCUCCAACCAAAACCUCUGACACCACAAAGAGUAAGCUCGCUGUGAAGUGCCGUCAGUCGGAGUUCUAUGAGCAGCAGAGGUUCAACUCUUCCCGUUCUUCUUCCACCGCCGAUACAUCUUAUGUUCCGCAUUCGCCGUCGGCAUCUGCAGGAGUUGGAGAAUUGCCGCCUAGGGUUUUUGUUGGCCAUUCAAUAUACAAGGGGAAGGCUGCUCUUACUGUGGAACCUCGAGCACCCGAGUUCGCGGCAUUAGAUUCUGGGGCAUUUAAACUAGCCAAGGAAGGUUUUGUUCUGUUACAAUUUGCGCCUGCAGCUGGUGUACGCCAGUAUGACUGGAGCAGAAAGCAGGUGUUCUCAUUAUCAGUGACAGAAAUUGGG
rnacentral:misc_RNA from 1 species